UUGCAGGCUCUCAGCUGGUAGGGGAGCAGGGAGCGGGUGGGAGAAAAGGGGAGGUGAGAGAAAGGACACCGGGGUGGGUGCCUUCUGCCUGGUGGGAGGAAGAAGUCUCCUCUCAGAGACAGCCAGGGUUUCUUGCCUCUGGAAGCUGCCAGAAACAGUUCCAUCCAUUUGCCUGCAAAUUUCAUGAUUUCCUUGUUUUUAAUAGGUGGGGUGGAAACAUCCUGGGCCACACAAGAAGGGCUGCCGAAGGCAGAGCUGGAGAUGACCUGCAAACUUGAGCAUCUGCAGAGUGUCCUAGGGCAUUCCAGGGGACAGUGCUGCUAGAAGUGACCAGAGGCAGAUGCUGGAAAUCAGACC